UGACCACCCCCAGGAGCCAGGCACAGA
rnacentral:piRNA from 1 species